CCUACGGGAGGCAGCAGUGAGGAAUAUUGGUCAAUGGACGAGAGUCUGAACCAGCCAAGUAGCGUGAAGGAUGACUGCCCUAUGGGUUGUAAACUUCUUUUAUAUGGGAAUAAAAUGUUCCAUGUGUGGGAUUUUGUAUGUACCAUAUGAAUAAGGAUCGGCUAACUCCGUGCCAGCAGCCGCGGUAAUACGGAGGAUCCGAGCGUUAUCCGGAUUUAUUGGGUUUAAAGGGAGCGUAGGUGGAUUGUUAAGUCAGUUGUGAAAGUUUGCGGCUCAACCGUAAAAUUGCAGUUGAAACUGGCAGUCUUGAGUACAGUAGAGGUGGGCGGAAUUCGUGGUGUAGCGGUGAAAUGCUUAGAUAUCACGAAGAACUCCGAUUGCGAAGGCAGUUCACUGGACUGCAACUGACACUGAGGCUCGAAAGUGUGGGUAUCAAACAGGAUUAGAUACCCGUGUAGUC
rnacentral:rRNA from 1 species